AUAUUAUUAUUUUUGACGUCUUACUUUAUAUGUUGUUUCAUCUGAUAUUUCACCAUCUCCGGUUAUUAACCAAUUUCGAGGCGGGAUAGGAUCUACUGGAGCACUCGGGCACUCCCAAUAGGAGAGUCGGUGGAUUGUAUUAUAAUAAAGUGUUAUCAAGGAAA